UACGUAGGUGACAAGCGUUGUCCGGAUUUACUGGGCGUAAAGGAUGCGUAGGCGGACAUUUAAGUCAGAUGUGAAAUACCCGAGCUUAACUUGGGUGCUGCAUUUGAAACUGGGUGUCUAGAGUGCAGGAGAGGUAAGUGGAAUUCCUAGUGUAGCGGUGAAAUGCGUAGAGAUUAGGAAGAACACCAGUGGCGAAGGCGACUUACUGGACUGUAACUGACGCUGAGGCAUGAAAGCGUGGGGAGCAAACAGG
rnacentral:rRNA from 1 species